UGGGUUCUUUAAUUAGGUCGGCUAAGCCUACUUCCCUUAUAGAUGGCUUUGAGUCUGCUAUCAAGGAAAGAAACAUUUAUUAUCAGGAACUAUCCCGAAAAAGGAAAUUUGAAAAUACAGUUAGUGCCGCGGCCUCCACAUAUAAGCGUAAUGACCAGAGGAGACCUAUAGCACAGACGCUUCCAGAUCACUUAUGAAUCCAGAAUUUGCUACCCCAUAUAGAACUAGAAAACUUGCCCAACCACUUACCCUGACAACAGCUUUAAAUUCCCAUCAAAUAGUUGAGGAAGUCAGAUACCCUGCAUUAAAAGAAUUUAACACAUCUCGAUAUUUUUUUUAUUUUUAUUGUUCAAAUUUCACAAUACCUUUGACGGAGGGAUUGGCAUGGAUAUACUUCAGCAAAUAGGAGCAGAAAUUGAUUUGGUAAAAUCCAAUUGAGAACGACAUUAACUCAAUUACCCAUUUGCUUCAAAACAAUUCGAGUCCUCAAUUAUAUGUUUUGGAACGCAACAAAAAAAAAAUGCUCCGGAUCUGUUUUCGCCAGAAGGAUUGUACAAGGCCGAUGCAUAUCGACAACCAAAAAGAAAAAAUUCGUACGCAACAUGAAAAUUCAAAUCAUAGAGGGGCGGACGAAGUGACAUUAAAACUCAAAAGAGAGUUCUAUUUCCCAAACAUGUAUGAAUAAGUAAAACAGAUUAUUCAAAACUGUAAUGUAUGCUAAAGUUUGAAAUAUGAUAGAAACCCACCUUAA